rfam:Rhodnius prolixus Rhodnius_prolixus-3.0.3-590.4, whole genome shotgun sequence.
GUGCCUUAAACUAAUGAGUAAGGAAAAUAUAGAGCCUUGUUAACUCUGGGUUCAGCUACCAAGUUAGCAAAUGUAAAUUUUUUAAAGAGGUAUAGGUCGUCCCCUUGAGUUCGCUGUCUACUUUUACAGUGAAUUCGGGUGAAGCGAUCUACCUC